AGGGCAAGUUUGUGAAGCCAGGAGGAUCUGUUGUUUAUGGAUUGUGGAUGUGAUUUCUUUUUUUGUUCUUCUCGAAACCACCAACAACAAUGUUGUAGGGCUAUGCAACAGGAAGAAGCUUUUUCACAAAUGGAAACCAAUCCGAGCGGGCAAGUUGGGAGGGAAGAGAGGCCAAUGAGCAAAAAAAGUAGAUACAGACUCCUCGUCAUCCAUUCUGGAGCUUUCCCUGCUGGGUUCUCCCCCUCCUGUUUCAGGCGACAGCAUGACCGUGACCAAAUGUUUUCUACAUUUUACUCUGUCAAAGGCACAAUAACUUUUCUUGGGGGGAAUUUUUUUAAAAAAACAGGAAAACUUUUUCUAAGACGAUUCCAUUCGACUCCAGGAGAUCGUGGGGUGGAAACACUCCUCCAACCGUGCAUGCAAUCAAUACGAAAUGAAGGCAAAUGGCUUUUUUUUCUUCGUAAUGGUCUCUCGAUUAAUUCCAGUCUCUCCUCCCCAUCUUUGUAUGUGUCCGUUUAAUGUGACAGACCCACUGAAAGGGAUGGGGUUCGUAGCCACAAAGCAAGCCCCCAUCUACACUGGCCAUUUAACGCACUUCAGAGCUAGCUAGUUGGAAGCGAGCUUUGAGCGAUGUGGUAAGAAUAUGAACUUCCAUUACAGGAAGGAAGGAAAAAUUAGGGAAGGCAAAAAAGAAAGAAAAAAGAAGGAAGGAAGGCAGGAAGGAAGGAAGGAAGGAAGGAAGGAAGGGAAGGGAAGAAGGGAAGGGAGGAGAAAAUUAUGGAAGGAAAGAAGCAAGAAAUGCAUGGCAAGGCAGACAGCCUGGCAAGAAGGCAGGUGAGCAAGAAAGCUGACAAGCAGGCAAAUAGGUAGGUAGGAAGCUGGUAAGCAAGCAGGCAAGCAGGCAAGCAGGUAGGUUGGCAAGCUGGUAAGCAACAAGCAGGCAGGCAGGUUGGCAAGCUGGUAAGCAACAAGCAGGCAAACAGGCAGGCAAGUAGGUUGGCAAGCUGGUAAGCAACAAGCAGGCAAACAGGCAGGUAGGUUGGCAAGCUAGUAAGCAACAAGCAGGCAAAUAGGCAGGCAAGUAGGUUGGCAAGCUGGUAAGCAACAAACAGGCAAACAAGCAGGCAGGUUGGCAAGCUGGUAAGCAACAAGAAAGCAAACAGGCAUGCAGGUAGGUUGGCAAGCUGGUAAGCAACAAGCAGGCAAACAGGCAGGCAGGUAAGUUGGCAAGCUGGUAAGCAACAAGCAGGCAAACAGGCAGGCAGGUUGGCAAGCUGGUAAGCAACAAGAAAGCAAACAGGCAGGCAGGUUGGCAAGCUGGUAAGCAACAAGCAGGCAAACAGGCAGGCAGGUGGGUUGGCAAGCUGAUAAGCAAACACACUGGCAAGCAAGCAAACAGGCAGGCAGGUAUGCUAGCAAGCUGGUAAGCAAGCAUGCUGGCAAGCAGACAAACAGGCAAGUAGGUAUGCUGGCUAUCCAGUAAGCAAACAAGCUGACAGGAAGGCAGGUAAGCAAGCAGGCAAGCAAGCAGGAAGGCAUGCAAACAGGCAGGCUGGCAAGCUGGUAAGCAAACAUGCUGGCAAGCAGACAAACAGGCAAGUAGGCAUGCUGGCAAUCUAGUAAGCAAGCAAGCUGACAGGAAGGCAGUUAAGCAAGCAGGCAAGCAGGAAGGCAUGCAAACAGGCAGGCAGGCAGGCAAUCUGGCAAACUAAAGACAGGCAACCUGGCAAGCAAGCAGGAAAGCAGGCUGGCAAGCUGAUAAGCAAGCAGGAAAGCAUGCAGGUAGGCAAUAGACUUGUGUGCGGAAUUAGUUUCUUCUAUUUCCCUCAUUUUUUUUGGUAGCUUCAGUACUUCAGGAGCCCAUAACAGUCAGGGCCCUCCCACUACGAAAACUUGUCUGACAAUAAUAAUAAUAAUAAUAAUAAUAAUAAUAAUAAUAAUAGCAACAAGUGGGAGCCAAUCUUGGCUCCUCCACUGCUUUUCGGCAUCACAGUUUAAUCUUUUUUAUUAAUCUCCCAGCAAACAAAAGGAAAACCCUCAUUCCCUGAAAACUACUACCAGUUACCUCUUCUCAUCCAGGAUGUCAUCACUCUUCCUUACCUGGACGUGGGAAGCCUCCUUAAAAUGCCUUGGAAAGAGUGUGUGACUGCUGGUGUGGUGCAGCCCGGGAGAGAAAGCGUGUGCACAUGCCAGCACCUCUCUCUAGAG